rnacentral:rRNA from 1 species
CUGCUGCCUCCCGUAGGAGUUUGGACCGUGUCUCAGUUCCAAUGUGGGGGACCUUCCUCUCAGAACCCCUAUCCAUCGUCGUCUUGGUGGGCCGUUACCCCGCCAACUAACUAAUGGAACGCAUCCCCAUCGAUAACCGAAAUUCUUUAAUAUCAAGAUCAUGCGAUCUUGAUAUGCUAUCGGAUAUUAAUCUUUCUUUCGAAAGGCUAUCCCCGAGUUAUCGGCAGGUUGGAUACGUGUUACUCACCCGUGCGCCGGUCGCCA